CAGGACUUCUGAAGACCAUGACUAAUGAUGAAUUGUGAAGCUUCCAUGUAGAUCCCCCGUCUUGUGCAGCGGAAUGUCCCUAAUCUGAAAGCUGCUACACUGACUGCCUAUCAACAUGCAAAUUAAUCAUCAAGUGACAAGCCCCAUAUUCACUCUAAGUUAAAGUCUUGAAAGUUGCUGGUAGCUGUUAUGGGGAACAAACAUCACUGGCUUUGCAUUGUACCCAUGUUCAGUGGUGAGCCUAAUGCUUUGAAAGCGCCUAGGUGAGAGGGGAACCUUUUGGUAUCCUUGUAAGCAAGACUUA